rnacentral:rRNA from 1 species
UGGGGAAUUUUGGACAAUGGGGGAAACCCUGAUCCAGCCAUCCCGCGUGUGCGAUGAAGGCCUUCGGGUUGUAAAGCACUUUUGGCAGGAAAGAAACGUCGCGGGUUAAUACCCCGCGAAACUGACGGUACCUGCAGAAUAAGCACCGGCUAACUACGUGCCAGCAGCCGCGGUAAUACGUAGGGUGCAAGCGUUAAUCGGAAUUACUGGGCGUAAAGCGUGCGCAGGCGGUUCGGAAAGAAAGAUGUGAAAUCCCCAGAGCUUAACUUUUGGAACUGCAUUUUUAACUACCGGGCUAGAGUGUGUCAGAGGGAGGUGGAAUUCCGCGUGUAGCAGUGAAAUGCGUAGAUAUGCGGAGGAACACCGAUGGCGAAGGCAGCCUCCUGGGAUAACACUGACGCUCAUGCACGAAAGCGUGGGGAGCAAACAGGAUUAGAUACCCUGGUAGUCCACGCCCUAAACGAUGUCAACUAGCUGUUGGGGCCUUCGGGCCUUGGUAGCGCAGCUAACGCGUGAAGUUGACCGCCUGGGGAGUACGGUCGGCAAGAUU